UGAUGCUCCCACUGUCUCCAGGAGUCCUUCCCCACCUCCCGACCUCAGUCAGGGUCUCUCCCCGGCCCCCACCCACCUGCCUGUCAUCGUUGUGUGGCUUCCGGCGGGAGCCUUUACCUGGGUUAGGACUGCGGCGGCGUCUGCAGAAGGUGCUCAGGAAAGAGUCCUGCGGUUUGAAUUCUGACCUCAGCUCCACCAGCCAGAUGUUAUGACACGUUUCCAGGGCUGGCUGUGUGCCGGAACGUGAGAACCAUCCUGCGGCCAUGCCCCGGGUUGGCAUCAGGGACCGACCACCUGCCAGGCCUUCCACGCCAAGAGAACUCAAGGAAACAGGAACUCGCUCUCCCUUCUCCUCACUGCCUGGGGUGCCCCUUCCCCCUUGAGGUCCAUCCACGUAUUUUUCCAGAAAGACCGUGGCAUCGAGAAAAAACACGCUGCUUGAGGCCAAACCUUUCUGUCUGGGUGACCAUGGCCCGCAGUUUCUGAUGAGGCUCUGCAGGGUCUGGUAUUCACACCCCAGAAUCCCACCCGUGGCCGCGGGCUGCGCCUAGGGACUCGCUGCCGAAGAAGACAACGUUGACGGGAAGUCGCUUCUGAGAUGAGACUCUGAGAGCCCGUGGCUGUCUUCUUGCUGGCUGGCUCUCUCUCCUCCUCAGCUUGCACACUCUGAGGAAGCACGCUGCCAGGCUGGGGAUGCCCACGGGGCCAGGCACUGAGGGUGGGCGACCUCUGGCCAAAAGCCAGUGAGGAAACGAGACCCCCCCAGUUAGACAACCUUCAGGGCCGAGUUCUGCCGACAGCUGUGCGAAUGAGCUUGAAAGCACAUCUGACCCAGUCGAGCCUUGAGAUGAGACCACAGCCCCCGGGGUCGAGACCUUGAGUGGAUAAACCCGUGAGCGGCUCUGAACCAGGGACCUGGGUGAACCUGGACUGCCGACCCACAGGGACGGUGGCAUCCUCGGCGUCGCUGUCUGCAGCCACUCUGUGGUGGGGCAGUUUGUCAUGCAGCAAAGAUAACUAAACAGUGACCUUGAGGAGGUGAGUUCAACUCUUCCAAGUGCCUAUAAAGUGGGUGCAGCGAGUGUGAGAGCUCAGCGGGAGAAUCUUUGUGUGGGAUCUGUGUCCGGGGGGAGCUCAGGAAAUGAGCCUUUCAGAUCUCAGGCAACAAUCUUUCCUGGACCAACCCUGAGGCCUGGGACAGGUGCUGGGGACAUGGCGAGGGGGGAGCUGGGAGGAAUGGAACGAGAAGGGUGACCCUGCCUCAUGGGCGCAUAGUCUAGUAUAAAGCAAGUCAUCGCAAAGAUCCAUGGGAAGGUCCAUGAGUCCCUGAGAGCAAAUGCCAGGAGCCCUGGCCUGGCAGGAAGGCUGUCACACUGGGCCCCCUGUGGGACCCCUCGAAGUGUCCCCAAGGGUGCUCUUUCUGUCUUCACCCAGCUCCGGGACCUGGAGCCUUAAGGCAUCACUUGGGUUCAAAUGUACCACCUGGAUUUAUUAUCCAGGCCUCCUUCAGGUGCGUCCCCCCCCUCCCCCCCGCCACACACACCUCUCUGAGCGUCGC